rnacentral:rRNA from 1 species
CCUACGGGAGGCAGCAGUGGGGAAUAUUGCACAAUGGGGGAAACCCUGAUGCAGCGACGCCGCGUGAGUGAAGAAGUAAUUCGUUAUGUAAAGCUCUAUCAGCAGGGAAGAAAAUGACGGUACCUGAGUAAGAAGCCCCGGCUAACUACGUGCCAGCAGCCGCGGUCAUACGUAGGGGGCAAGCGUUAUCCGGAUUUACUGGGUGUAAAGGGAGCGUAGACGGCAGUGCAAGUCUGGAGUGAAAGGCGGGGGCUCAACCCCCGGACUGCUCUGGAAACGGUACGGCUGGAGUGCAGGAGAGGUAAGUGGAAUUCCUAGUGUAGCGGUGAAAUGCGUAGAUAUUAGGAGGAACACCAGUGGCGAGGGCGGCUUACUGGACUGUAACUGACGUUGAGGCUCGAAAGCGUGGGGAGCAAACAGGAUUAGAUACCCGGGUAGUC